AGUCGAGCGGGCGUAGCAAUACGUCAGCGGCAGACGGGUGAGUAACGCGUGGGAACGUACCUUUUGGUUCGGAACAACACAGGGAAACUUGUGCUAAUACCGGAUAAGCCCUUACGGGGAAAGAUUUAUCGCCGAAAGAUCGGCCCGCGUCUGAUUAGCUAGUUGGUGAGGUAAUGGCUCACCAAGGCGACGAUCAGUAGCUGGUCUGAGAGGAUGAUCAGCCACAUUGGGACUGAGACACGGCCCAAACUCCUACGGGAGGCAGCAGUGGGGAAUAUUGGACAAUGGGGGCAACCCUGAUCCAGCCAUGCCGCGUGAGUGAUGAAGGCCCUAGGGUUGUAAAGCUCUUUUGUGCGGGAAGAUAAUGACGGUACCGCAAGAAUAAGCCCCGGCUAACUUCGUGCCAGCAGCCGCGGUAAUACGAAGGGGGCUAGCGUUGCUCGGAAUCACUGGGCGUAAAGGGUGCGUAGGCGGGUCUUUAAGUCAGGGGUGAAAUCCUGGAGCUCAACUCCAGAACUGCCUUUGAUACUGAAGAUCUUGAGUUCGGGAGAGGUGAGUGGAACUGCGAGUGUAGAGGUGAAAUUCGUAGAUAUUCGCAAGAACACCAGUGGCGAAGGCGGCUC
rnacentral:rRNA from 1 species